GAAUACGUUGAAGAAUGGCCGGGAGACAAGCAAUCAGUUUUGAAACCAUGCGGAUUGGACAUGGACUGCCAGUAUGGAUUCGGCUGCACAAAGGAGGGAUGCACGCCUUUACCUGGAAUACGAAUGUAGAACGCUGCAUUCA
rnacentral:lncRNA from 1 species